rnacentral:rRNA from 1 species
GAUGAACGCUGGCGGCGUGCCUAAUACAUGCAAGUCGAGCGAACAGACGAGGCUCUUGCUCCGCUGACGUUAGCGGCGGACGGGUGAGUAACACGUGUAUAACCUACCUAUAAGACUGGGAUAACUUCGGGAAACCGGAGAUAAUACCGGAUAAUAUAUUGAACCGCAGGGUUCAAUAGUAAAAGACGGUUUUGCUGUCACUUAUAGAUGGAUCCGCGCUGCAUUAGCUAGUUGGUAAGGUAACGGCUUACCAAGGCGACGAUGCGUAGCCGACCUGAGAGGGUGAUAGGCCACACUGGAACUGAGACACGGUCCAGACUCCUACGGGAGGCAGCAGUAGGGAAUCUUGCGCAAUGGGCGAAAGCCUGACGGAGCAACGCCGCGUGAGUGAUGAAGGUCUUCGGAUCGUAAAACUCUGUUAUUAGGGAAGAACAAAUGUGUAAGUAAAUAUGCACGUCUUGACGGUACCUAAUCAGAAAGCCACGGCUAACUACGUG